rnacentral:piRNA from 1 species
UGAUAUGUUAAUGGAUGACUCAG